CCGCGGUAUUUUGACCGUGCAAAGGUAGCAUAAUAAUUAGUUUUUUUAUUGAAAGCUGGUAUGAAUGAUUGGACGAGAAAAUUGCUGUCUCUAAUAAAUUUAUUUUUGAAAUUAACUUUUGAGUAAGAAGGCUCAAAUUUAUUUUAAAGACGAGAAGACCCUAUAGAGUUUUAUACUGUGAAAAAUUUAAAGUUUUUGGUUAUUUAAUUUUUUUGAUUUUUUUUUGGUAUUUGGUUGGGGUGACUAAAAGAUUCGAUAAACUCUUUUAAUUAAUAAUCAUUUAUUUGUGAAUUUUAAAUCUAAUUUUUUUCAAUUUAAUACAAAUUACCUUAGGGAUAACAGCGUAAUUUCUUUUUAGAGUUCUUAUUGAAAAAGAAGUUUGCGACCUCNAUGUUGAUUUAAAUUGCCGCGGUAU
rnacentral:rRNA from 1 species